rnacentral:rRNA from 1 species
UACGUAGGGUGCGAGCGUUAAUCGGAAUUACUGGGCGUAAAGCGUGCGCAGGCGGUUUGGUAAGUCAGAUGUGAAAUCCCCGGGCUCAACCUGGGAACUGCAUUUGAGACUGCCAAGCUGGAGUUUGGCAGAGGGGGGUGGAAUUCCACGUGUAGCAGUGAAAUGCGUAGAGAUGUGGAGGAACACCGAUGGCGAAGGCAGCCCCCUGGGCCAAUACUGACGCUCAUGCACGAAAGCGUGGGGAGCAAACAGGAUUAGAAACCCUAGUAGUCC